rnacentral:rRNA from 1 species
CGAGUGAAGCGGCAACAGCUCAAAUUUGAAAUCUGGCUUCGGCCCGAGUUGUAAUUUGCAGAGGAUGCUUUUGGUGCGGUGCCUUCCGAGUUCCCUGGAACGGGACGCCACAGAGGGUGAGAGCCCCGUAUGGUCGGACACCAAUCCUGUGUAAAGCUCCUUCGACGAGUCGAGUAGUUUGGGAAUGCUGCUCUAAAUGGGAGGUAAAUCUCUUCUAAAGCUAAAUACCGGCCAGAGACCGAUAGCGCACAAGUAGAGUGAUCGAAAGAUGAAAAGCACCUUGAAAAGGGGGUUAAACAGUACGUGAAAUUGUUGAAAGGGAAGCACUUGUGACCAGACUUGGGCCGGGCGGCUCAUCAGGGGUUCUCCCCUGUGCAUUCCGCCCGGUACAGGCCAGCAUCGGUUCUUACCGGGGGAUAAGAACGGCAGGAACGUGGCUCCCUCUCGGGGGAGUGUUAUAGCCUGCCGUACGAUACCCUGGCGGGGACCGAGGUUCGCGCUUCCGCAAGGAUGCUGGCGUAAUGGUUACUAGUGACCCGUCUUGAAACACGGACCAAGGAGUCGUCCAUUAGAGCGAGCGUUUGGGUGUAAAACCCGCACGCGUAAUGAAAGUGAAAUUAGGUGAGAGCUUCGGCGCAUCAUCGACCGAUCCUGAUGUUCUCGGAUGGAUUUGAGUAAGAGUUUUAACGGACGGACCCGAAAGACAGUGAACUAUGCUUGUAUAGGGUGAAGCCAGAG